rnacentral:rRNA from 1 species
GACAGAGGAUGCAAGCGUUAUCCGGAAUGAUUGGGCGUAAAGCGUCUGUAGGUGGCUUUUAAGUCCGCCGUCAAAUCCCAGGGCUCAACCCUGGACAGGCGGUGGAAACUACCAAGCUGGAGUACGGUAGAGGCAGAUGGAAUUCCGGGUGUAGCGGUGGAAUGCGUAGAGAUCCGGAAGAACACCGGUGGCGAAGGCGGUCUGACUGGGGUGAGGCUGACGCUGAUGGCGCGACGAGCGUGGGGAGCAAACAGGAGUUAGAUGACCC